AUAAGGGCCAAAUCGUAGAUCCAACAGGCGGCUUUCAUGAAUCUAGAGUAUUUCCUGAGCAACAGGACAUCAAGUCUGUAAUACAUGAUCCUGCCAAACCCAUGUUUUGGUUUGUCCCCACAUCAUGUCUCAGAGUACAGGUACCAAGUUCAACUACACUGAGACCCAAGCUAGCCACUUAGAGAGAAAGAGGCCAUGUACAGAAACAGGAAAGCAGAUACGCAAGUAAAACCUUUCGGACUCUCCAGACUGGCUUCGCCUCCAGCUGAAUGAAGAUGACCUGGGCCGAUGACGCCUGGAGUGGAGGAGCUUCCCGCUGAGGCCGCCUUAGCUCCUGACACCCAGAACCAUGAGAAAAUAGAUGGUGGUUGCUCGACCAUGUAAUGCUUUGCGAUUGCCCCUGGUGCGCUACCUGUGUCCAGAAGUUAGGCAGUCUCUGUCACAUGUCAUGAACCAUGUGUGGGAUUACUGCAUGAAUGCUGUCCUGGGGCCCACGGUCUCACCUUCAGUUUAAAUGGGCCCGGGUAAGUGGGUUUGGGAAGUAAUGUAAGGAGGCUGUUUCAAAAAGGCACCAGCACAGAUGUAGCACUGUUAUAAUCAUGGUAUUACAAAGAAACCAAAAUAAAAUGGGAGAGCAUGCACUUCUGUUCCCAGGACAAACCCCUCACUAGCUACAUUAAGGGAUGAAAGCAAUAAUGAUUUAAAUAAAUCUACAAGAAGCUGGCCAACAAGUUCAAAAUUGUCAAGAAGAAAUUCUGCAUUAUGGAUUUGUAUCUAUUACUCUGAAUGGUAAAACACCCUGAAUUAGUAAUUCUUAACAGGGGGUAACUCUGCCUCUGAGGGGGACACUUGAAAUGUUCAGAGACAUUUUGGUUAUCAAAACUGGGAGAUGUCAUCUAGUGGAUAGAGGUCUGGGAUGCUGCUGCUAAACCUCCUACCUGGUGCAGGACAACCCGCCACCCCCACCGCCAAACAAAGAAUUCUCUUAUCCAAAGUGUCAAUAGUGUCAAGGCUGAGAGGCUUUGAAUUAAAUGUACAUUAAUAUAUUAUCAAAUAAUAGGGCUACCUAUAAAAUUUAUGAUAUGCAUGAAUAAUACAUUAUAUACAUAUAUGAAGUAAUGUGUGUUAUAUGUACGUUUAAAAUAAUAUAUAUGGCAAAAGUACUUUUAGGAUGGGGACUGUAAAUAAAAAAAAAGUUUGGACACCAUCAGAAUAACACGUAGACGCUUGAUAGAGGUUAUUGUUUGUUUUUAUUUAAAGACUGGUUAAAGUUUCGGAAACCAUGUCACAGAAAUUAUUGAAGGAUUUGUGCUUAUGGCAUCUGAAACAGAAGAUGAGAGCAUUAUUUUAGCUGUCUUCAAAAAUUUAUGAGUAUUUUGUAGAAGAAAGAUUUAUCUUAGUGGUUAAUCUCCAGAGGGCAGAACUAAGAUCAUUGGACUCAAACAUCAAGAUGACUAUUUUGAUACAAUAGAAGGAAGAAUUUUCUAACAAUUUUAGUGGUUAGGCAAUGAAAUGAGCUGCUGUACUACAGGAAAUUCUCCCUUGGGAUGGGACGUUGGCCAAGAUGAGUUGUGUGGGCUUCAGCUCAACAAGUCUGCAAUUUUUGUUCUUAAAAUACAUGCACAGCUUUUUAAGCAACUUAUUUUGUACUCUAAUGGGCCACACUAUGUUUUUAAAGCAGAGGUUGCAAACUUGUGGUCCCCAGAAGUGUGUUCUGGUUUCCAAAAUAGUGUUUAGAAACAUUUUAAAAUUAAUAACCAACAUUUUAAAAGCAAGAGAUUUCAUGUUAAAUAAUCCAGGUUUCAGGUUUCUCUUGCAAUAUGACAGCACCAGGUCCAAGUUCCUACAUGACAACAGGAAGCUGGUAUUGUCCACUCUGCUCAUUCCUAUGACCUGCCUUGGCCCUGAGAGCCUGAGGCUCAGAGCUGAGCAGUGGUUAACAAAGCUGCUCCAGUGCCGCGUGACUUGGCUGUAAAUCCUUCUGGCAUCAUUUACUGGUGGUGUAACAUUGGGCAAAAUACUUCAUGUCCCCUUUGAUUUAAUUUUCUCAUCUCUGAUAUGAUGAUAGCUAUGAUAUCCACCUCAUAAAGAUGUAUUAAGAUUAGCUGAGUUCACCACGUGCAAAAUCAUUGGAAGAGUUUCUGGCAUAGCUGUGCCUAGUGAGUGUCUCUUACAGCUAUUUGAGUUUGUGGCUCCUGGUAGAAAGGUUGCCUGAAUGCCUUUCUCAUGCAAUUCUCAGCAGAAUGUUUUAAGUUAACACUG